rnacentral:rRNA from 1 species
UACUAGUNGUCGGGGAUUAAUUUCCUUGGUAACGCAGCUAACGCGUGAAGUAGACCGCCUGGGGAGUACGGUCGCAAGAUUAAAACUCAAAGGAAUUGACGGGGACCCGCACAAGCGGUGGAUGAUGUGGAUUAAUUCGAUGCAACGCGAAAAACCUUACCUACGCUUGACAUGUCCGGAACCCUGAAGAGAUUUGGGGGUGCUCGAAAGAGAGCCGGAACACAGGUGCUGCAUGGCUGUCGUCAGCUCGUGUCGUGAGAUGUUGGGUUAAGUCCCGCAACGAGCGCAACCCUUAUCAUUAGUUGCUACGCAAGGGCACUCUAAUGAGACUGCCGGUGACAAACCGGAGGAAGGUGGGGAUGACGUCAAGUCCUCAUGGCCCUUAUGUGUAGGGCUUCACACGUCAUACAAUGGUCGGUACGGAGGGUUGCGAAGCCGUGAGGUGGAGCCAAUCCCAAAAAACCGAUCGUAGUCCGGAUUGCAGUCUGCAACUCGACU